UACGUAGGCAGCAAGCGUUUGUUCGGAAUUAUUGGGCGUAAAGAGCUCGUAGGCGGUCUGUCGCGUCGGAUGUGAAAACCCAGGGCUCAACCCUGGGCCUGCAUUCGAUACGGGCAGACUAGAGUUCGGUAGGGGAGACUGGAAUUCCUGGUGUAGCGGUGAAAUGCGCAGAUAUCAGGAGGAACACCGGUGGCGAAGGCGGGUCUCUGGGCCGAAACUGACGCUGAGGAGCGAAAGCGUGGGGAGCAAACAGG
rnacentral:rRNA from 1 species